rnacentral:rRNA from 1 species
CUAAUACUGCAUACAUCCGUACGGGGGAAAGCAGGGGAUCUUCGGACCUUGCGCUAUUAGAUGAGCCUAUGUCGGAUUAGCUAGUUGGUGAGGUAAAGGCUCACCAAGGCGACGAUCCGUAGCUGGUCUGAGAGGAUGAUCAGCCACACUGGGACUGAGACACGGCCCAGACUCCUACGGGAGGCAGCAGUGGGGAAUAUUGGACAAUGGGCGCAAGCCUGAUCCAGCCAUGCCGCGUGUGUGAAGAAGGCCUUAGGGUUGUAAAGCACUUUCAUUGGGGAGAAAGGCUGUUUGGUUAAUACCCAAGCAGAUUGAUGUUACCCAAAGAAGAAGGACCGGCUAACUCCGUG